rnacentral:rRNA from 1 species
CCUACGGGAGGCAGCAGUGGGGAAUAUUGCACAAUGGGGGGAACCCUGAUGCAGCGACGCCGCGUGAGUGAAGAAGUAUUUCGGUAUGUAAAGCUCUAUCAGCAGGGAAGAAAAUGAAGGUACCUGACUAAGAAGCCUCGGCUAACUACGUGCCAGCAGCCGCGGUAAUACGGAGGGGGCAAGCGUUAUCCGGAGUUACUGGGUGUAAAGGGAGCGGAGACGGGUAGGCAAGACUGAAGUGAAAGCCCCAGGCUCAAACAUGGGACUGGUUUGGAAACUGUAAAACUGGAGUGCAGGAGAGGUAAGCGGAAUUCCUAGUGUAGCGGUGAAAUGCGUAGAUAUUAGGAGGAACACCAGUGGCGAAGGCGGCUUACUGGACUGUAACUGACGUUGAGGCUCGAAGGCGUGGGGAGCAAACAGGAUUAGAUACCCUGGUAGUC